rnacentral:rRNA from 1 species
UACAGAGGUCUCAAGCGUUGUUCGGAAUUACUGGGCGUAAAGAGUGUGUAGGCGGUGCUCUAAGUCUGUUGUGAAAUCUCCCGGCUUAACCGGGAGGGUGCGGCGGAAACUGGAGUGCUUGAGUAUGGGAGAGGUAAGCGGAAUUCCUGGUGUAGCGGUGAAAUGCGUAGAUAUCAGGAGGAACACCUGUGGUGUAGACAGCUUACUGGACCAUCACUGACGCUGAGACACGAAAGCGUGGGUAGCAAACAGG